rnacentral:rRNA from 1 species
CCCUUAGAUGUUCUGGGCCGCACGCGUGCUACACUGAGUGGAUCAGCGGGUCAGGUUGCGCGAAAGCGUUUCCUAAUCUUUAAAUCCGCUCGUGAUGGGGAUUGACGGUUGCAAUUUUCUGUCAUGAACGAGGAAUACCUUGUAAGCGCGGGUCAUCAUCCCGCGCUGAAUACGUCCCUGCCCUUUGUACACACCGCCCGUCGCUCCUACCGAUUGAGUGGUCCGGUGAGGCUUUGGGAUCUGAGCGGAAAGAGCGUUUCGCUGUUUCUGCUCGGAAAACUCAGUCGAACCUUGUCAUUUAGAGGAAGGAGAAGUCGUAACA